GUGCUUGCUCUGGCAGCACGUAUACUAAACUUGGAACGAUACAGAGAAGAUUAGCAUGGCCCUGCACAAGGAUGACAUGCAAAUUCGUGAAAUGUUCCAUAUUUUU
rnacentral:snRNA from 1 species